rnacentral:rRNA from 1 species
UACAGAGGUCUCAAGCGUUGUUCGGACUCAUUGGGCGUAAAGGGUGCGUAGGCGGCGCGGUAAGUCGGGUGUGAAAUCUUGGAGCUUAACUCCGAAACUGCAUUCGAUACUGCCGUGCUUGAGGACUGGAGAGGAGACUGGAAUUCCACGUGUAGCAGUGAAAUGCGUAGAGAUGUGGAGGAACACCGAUGGCGAAGGCAGCCCCCUGGGUCAACACUGACGCUCAUGCACGAAAGCGUGGGGAGCAAACAGG